rnacentral:sRNA from 2 species
AUUCUGCCCAAGCGGAGAAGGAUGAGAAGCUUCGACUAAGGUUCGACUCGAGCGCCAGCGAGAGAGCGUUGCCGCAGGCAACGACCUGAAGGGCGAAGCGCGCAGCGCUGAGUAAUCCUUCCCCACCACCA